UCAUCAUGGCCCUUACGGCCAGGGCUACACACGUGCUACAAUGGUCGGUACAAAGGGUUGCUACACAGCGAUGUGAUGCUAAUCUCAAAAAGCCGAUCGUAGUCCGGAUUGGAGUCUGCAACUCGACUCCAUGAAGUCGGAAUCGCUAGUAAUCGCGGAUCAAGAAUGCCCGCGGUGAAUACGUUCCCGGGCCUUGUACACACCGCCCGUCACACCAUGGGAGUUUGUUGCACCAGAAGUAGGUAGUCUAACCGCAGGAGGACCCUUACCACGGUGUGGCCGAUGACUGGGGUGAAGUCGUAACAAGGUAGCCGUAGGGGAA
rnacentral:rRNA from 1 species